UACAGAGGUCUCAAGCGUUGUUCGGAUUCAUUGGGCGUAAAGGGUGCGUAGGCGGCUCGGUAAGUCGGGUGUGAAAUCUCGGGGCUUAACUCCGAAACUGCAUUCGAUACUGCCGUGCUUGAGGACUGGAGAGGAGACUGGAAUUUACGGUGUAGCGGUGAAAUGCGUAGAUAUCGUAAGGAAGACCAGUGGCGAAGGCGGGUCUCUGGACAGUUCCUGACGCUGAGGCACGAAGGCCAGGGGAGCAAACGGG
rnacentral:rRNA from 1 species